rnacentral:rRNA from 1 species
AGAGUUUGAUCAUGGCUCAGGAUGAACGCUGGCGGCGUGCUUAACACAUGCAAGUCGAACGAACCUUCGGGUUAGUGGCGGACGGGUGAGUAACGCGUGGGAAUCUGCCCUCAGGAGGGGGAUAACGACUGGAAACGGUCGCUAAUACCCCAUAUGCCGAGAGGUGAAAGGAAUUUCGCCUGAGGAUGAGCCCGCGUCUGAUUAGCUAGUUGGUGAGGUAAGAGCUCACCAAGGCGACGAUCAGUAGCUGGUCUGAGAGGAUGAUCAGCCACACUGGGACUGAGACACGGCCCAGACUCCUACGGGAGGCAGCAGUGGGGAAUUUUCCGCAAUGGGCGAAAGCCUGACGGGCAACGCCGCGUGAGGGAUGAAGGCCUCUGGGCUGUAAACCUCUUUUCUCAAGGAAGAAGAUCUGACGGUACUUGAGGAAUAAGCCACGGCUAAUUCCGUGCCAGCAGCCGUGGUAAUACGGGAGUGGCAAGCGUUAUCCGGAAUCAUUGGGCGUAAAGCGUCCGCAGGUGGCUUUGUAAGUCUGCCGUUAAAGCGUGGAGCUUAACUCCAUUUCAGCGGUGGAAACUACAAGGCUUGAGUGUGGUAGGGGCAGAGGGAAUUCCCGGUGUAGCGGUGAAAUGCGUAGAUAUCGGGAAGAACACCAGUGGCGAAGGCGCUCUGCUGGGCCAUAACUGACACUCAUGGACGAAAGCCAGGGGAGCGAAAGGGAUUAGAUACCCCUGUAGUCCUGGCCGUAAACGAUGAACACUAGGCGUCGGGGGAAUCGACCCCCUCGGUGUCGUAGCCAACGCGUUAAGUGUUCCGCCUGGGGAGUACGCACGCAAGUGUGAAACUCAAAGGAAUUGACGGGGGCCCGCACAAGCGGUGGAGUAUGUGGUUUAAUUCGAUGCAACGCGAAGAACCUUACCAGGGUUUGACAUCCUGCGAACCUCUGAGAAAUCGGGGGGUGCCUUCGGGAACGCAGUGACAGGUGGUGCAUGGCUGUCGUCAGCUCGUGUCGUGAGAUGUUGGGUUAAGUCCCGCAACGAGCGCAACCCACGUCUUUAGUUGCCAGCAUUCAGUUGGGCACUCUAGAGAGACCGCCGGUGAUAAACCGGAGGAAGGUGUGGAUGACGUCAAGUCAUCAUGCCCCUUACAUCCUGGGCUACACACGUACUACAAUGCUACGGACAAAGGGCAGCAAGCUCGCGAGAGCAAGCAAAUCCCAUAAACCGUGGCUCAGUUCAGAUCGUAGGCUGCAACUCGCCUACGUGAAGGAGGAAUCGCUAGUAAUCGCAGGUCAGCAUACUGCGGUGAAUACGUUCCCGGGCCUUGUACACACCGCCCGUCACACCAUGGAAGUUAGCCACGCCCGAAGUCGUUACUCCAACCCUUGUGGAGGAGGAUGCCGAAGGUGGGGCUGAUGACUGGGGUGAAGUCGUAACAAGGUAACC